GGGCGUUUAGCUCAGUUGGCUAGAGCGCCACCCUUACAAGGUGGAUGUCCGGGGUUCGAGUCCCUGAACGCUCA
rnacentral:tRNA from 1 species